AGCACAAUAGCUCAGUGGUUAAAAGCACCAGAUAUGAGUCCUGUGACCCGGGUUUGAAUCCCAGUUGGGCCA